UCAUAAUGAAAUCGGAACCUAAGGACAUAACCUCAGAUGUGACAAGAGGAAUCCUGUAUUAACUGGGUAACUACUGGUCCUAAAGAAGCUUCAACUCAUCUACUACAAAUGGACGGGUUGUACAACAGAUGCGAAACUAAUGUAAAAUAUCCCGGCUGAAGCCCAAAGCUCGCCAAAAGCCCAUGGCCUAUAGACUACUCUCCAGCACAGCUGAACACUUUUCUUUCCACCAGUUGAGUUACAUGCUUACCGAAAGUCAACCUUGACUGUCCACAAAACAGUUCCUAUCAGUUCAUAUCUGAUGUCAAUACAUAGUUGAACUAAAUGUUAUAGGAAAAUAAUAAGCUUCAAAAAUAAAAUUAUUU